rnacentral:rRNA from 1 species
UACAGAGGUCUCAAGCGUUGUUCGGAUUCAUUGGGCGUAAAGGGUGCGUAGGCGGUUUGGUAAGUCUUAUGUGAAAUCUACAGGCUCAACUUGUAGUCUGCAUGAGAAACUGCCGGGCUUGAGUAUGGGAGAGGUGAGUGGAAUUCCUGGUGUAGCGGUGAAAUGCGCAGAUAUCAGGAGGAACACCGAUGGCGAAGGCAGGUCUCUGGGCCACUACUGACGCUGAGAAGCGAAAGCAUGGGGGAGCGAACAGG